rnacentral:tRNA from 1 species
GGCUCAAUAGCUCAGCUGGAUAGAGCACCGGUUUUCUAAACCGUAGGUCCCAGGUUCGAAUCCUGGUUGGGCUA